CAACAACAACCCUAAACCCAAAACAAAACCAAAUACUUUUGGUUGUGUAUUCGACGAUAUGAUUGAUGAUUUAACAAGGAAAAUGAGAUCGAUGAUUUGUUGAGAGAAAAUGAAUUGGAAAAGAGAACAAAAUCAAAUAUUUUAGUGUGGGAUCAAGGCUCUUUUUCGGUUUGGGAUAAAAUUGAUUAAUUUAAUUAUCGAGAAUUUGGCGAGCAAACGAAACAGAAAAGAGAGAACAAAACCAAAUAUUUUCGCUAGUGAUCAAGGAUCUUUUCAGUUUCACAAGUUGGUUUGGGAUAAAAUUGAUUAAAUUUAAUUCUUUUAUCCUAAACAAACUUUUGAGAUUCUUUAGUUAAGAUUUUUUUUUAAUACUUUUUUCGGCUCUGUUUAAUUAAAUGAAUUGGAAAAAUAAGAUAAGUACAUAUUUUAUUAAAAAAAUCACUAAAUCUAAAUUAAUCCAAAAUUGAAUUAUUUUGUGAAAACAUUAUGUUUUGAAAUUGACAAAAAAAAAAAAUAUAAUUAAAUUUAAAAAACCUGUUUUAUCAUUACCAGGGCCCCUUUUUUCCAGCUUUUAGGUAAAAUAUUUUGAAAAAUUACAAAAACGAACCCCUAUUCAAUUGGUAGGGAUUAAGGAUUUUAAAGGGCUCUGAUUAUUGCAACAUUGUUUUUCCGGUCAAAAAAUGAUUCGAAUAGUUACAUAUUAACAAUUUCAGAGUUUAGUUUGUUAAGAUUAGAAAUAUAGUCCUUAUUUGUUAUUGAUUCAAACUCUUGGGUUCUUUUUGUAAUUUUCAAUUUUUAUCCCCAGUCCAAAUCCAGACGAAAUCGGAUUCGGAAUCAUCGUAUUAUAAAUUCAACAGACAAAUGGUGCCGCCCCAUGAUCGCCCACCCCCUGUCCGACAAAUGGUGCUACCUGCUCUGCGACUCCGCCCUUCUCGAGCUCGACGGCUGCUACUGCCCCAACACGGCGUGCUCGGUGCUGGUCGUGAACGAGUGCGGAGGGAAUGUGACGAGAACGAAUUGCAAGCGGCCGUUCUGUCGAACAGGGGGUGGGCGCAUUCGGGUUCUCGUCAAGCGGAACAAGUGGAUCAGGUGUGUCCGAGUUGUAAACACUGCGUUCGACGCAUUGGUGGUUGCUCCAUUGUUAAGUACAGGUUCUUCUCUCUCUACAUCUACAUGUUUUGAUAACAGCGAUUAUUGAAGAAGAUACGGUACACAUCUUUCAGCACGGCGAGCUUCGCUAACGAGUAGUGCUUGUACGUACAACUGUUAGUGAAGAGUAAAGUGGAGUCAUGUUAACUUCAUUUUUGAUAGUGUUAUAAACAUACAUAGGGACUAAAAUUUAAUUAAGUUUUAUAUACUAAAUUAAAUAGAUAAUAAUUGAUUCAUUUUCUCUUAAAUGAAUAGAUGAAUAUUGUAUAUUCAUUUGUCCCAAAUUGAGUUGAUUUAAAUAAGAAAUUAUUUUUCAAAGAAACUUCAUUGAAAGGAAAAAAUUAGAUAGAAAAGUUUGUCUAACAUCAGAAAAAAUGAAAGAAAAUUAGUGAGCAUAUAAAACUCAAGUUUGACUUCUAAAAAUUGGGUUCUUAGACACCUCAAGUUUUUAGAGGGGCGAUUUAUGUACAAAAUGGCUUUGAUCCAUUAGCUUAUGGUUUUGACUCACGUGAGUCGUCCGUUAGGUCGGGUAUUUGUUCACGGGCCUUGGCAUAAUUGAAUAUUAUUUUUUUAAAAUUUAUUUUAAUUUUUAAACUAUUUAAAAUUAUACUUUCUUGCCCGAAUUUAAUUUUCUUUAGAGAAUGGUCAUGUUGUUUUUGAAUUUACGCGGAAGAAAAAUUACGAUUUUUUUCUUAUUUUUUUUAAAAUUUACGAACAGUCACAACCUUCUGAUUUAUGCAAAUAGGUGCCUGUUUGGCCAAAUGGAUGUCUAUUUGGACGAACGAGUGACUUUGCAAUAAGGUGUGACCCUCCAAAAAGGCAACACGUCUUUUCAAUGAGUUAUGUACAAAAUGAUUUUGAUCCAUUAGUCUAUAGUUCUAACCAAUGUGCAAUUGCACCGCAGUCACCCGCCCAUCAGGUCGGUUCAUGUUCACGGGCCUUGGGCUAAUUGAAUAUUGAUAUUUAAAAAAAAAUAUUUUAAUUUCUAAACUAUUAAAAAUUAUACUUUCUUUCCCAAAUUCAAUUUUCUUUCGCGAAAGGUACGUCGUUUUGAAUUUAUGGGGAAGGAAAAUUAUGAUUUUUUCCUAAUUUUUUUUUUUUUCUUAAUUAUGAUUUUUUCGCGACGGUACUCGUUUUGAAAAUUAUGAUUUUUUCCAAAUAGUUAUAACCUUCUGAUUUAUGCGAAUAUGUGCCUGUUUGGCCGAAUGAAUGUCUUUUCAAUGAGGUGUGACUCUACAGAAAGGCACCAUACCUCUUCUAACGUGAGAACUUCUAUAUAAACCCACCAGCAUUCAUUCAUUUUAUUCGAAAAUAAAGUUUAGAGUGCUAAAAAUUGCAUAAAUUCAUCCUG
rnacentral:lncRNA from 1 species